CUCGACGUUGGCCACGCUGCAGGGUUCAGAGCAGGGCACAGCCUCGGGGCGUUGGUAGCACGUUGCGGCAGGGGCUCCUCCGUCCUCCUCCUGCAGCACGCUUCUAGCUCCUCAUCUGUGCAGGCUGGCAACCCUGGACUCGCGUGGGGAGACGCUGACCCAGCUCACCUCUCUCUUAAUGUGACUUUCAGGGGGAUCAGAGACCUCGCUCGUCUGCGCCGUGUCGCUGGGAACCUGCCACCAGGUGCAGGGGCGAGCUGACCACGUCUCCCAGGAGCAGCUUCCAGCGGGAUUAGAUGAAGCUUCUCAUGAACGCACAGCCAGCAAAGGGGAUUAGAGUCGCUGCAGUUCCAGUAAAGCAUCGCUUUGUUAAAUGCCUGGGGCUGAAGAAAGCAUCCCUGGUGCUACAGAAGACGGAGCUUAUUCCGGCCAGGUCGUACUCCUCCCCUGGAAGAUCUGCUGUGCAAAGAGACUGCUACAAACCCAAUCCCUGCUGCCGGCAGCAGACCUCGGCUGUCGUCUCUGGCUCCUGGUGGUGACAGGGCGAUGCUCACCCGUGCUGGAUGAGGGCUCUGUGGGACGGCCCCAAAUGGACCUACCUCUCCUCGGGAUUGCGUUUCAGGAGGAGAGCGAUUCCUAAAAGAGCCAGGAUUACUCCGUGGCACAGACGGGUUGGACCGAGGCAGCGCUGCUCCGUUUGUUUAUCAACCCCCACACCUUGGGUAGAAAAGGAGCCCGGUCCUGAAGCCACCAGCUGGACUGGAGCUCUCAGGCAGGAUCCCAGCCGCCUCCGAUUUGCCUCUCCUCUCCUCUCCUGCCUGACCAGGAGCAGUUUUCCUUUCCAGCUGUUACGCCUGGGGAGCGGACGGAGCCGGCAGCCACAUCUCACCACCUGCUGCACGCUUCGUUCCUCAUGGGUAGCCAAGUUUCUUCUGUCUACAGUUUCAGGACAGCACUGCAGCCCCAGCAAGCUGCUGCUAGCAGGUUUGGGAAGGACGGUUUGAUGCUGCUGUAGUCCAGCAAGGUGCUACCCGCUCAGCCUCAGCGGCUCCUUCCCACCUCUAACAGCGCUGCGUUUUGUCGGGUCCUGGGAGCUCCUGCAACCUGACCUCCUGCGCGACUGAAACGCGACCCGUGAAAGGCUUCUACCACAUCUGCCUACCGAAAAGGAACAGUUCCUCAAUGGGGCUGGCCACUUGCCUAGACAGUUAGCUCAACGGC